UACGUAGGGCGCAAGCGUUAUCCGGAAUUAUUGGGCGUAAAGAGCUCGUAGGCGGUUCAGUAAGUCGGGUGUGAAAACUUUGGGCUUAACCCAAAGCGUGCAUCCGAUACUGCUGUGACUUGAGUACGGUAGGGGAGCGGGGAAUUCCUAGUGUAGCGGUGAAAUGCGCAGAUAUCGGGAGGAACACCAAUAGCGAAGGCAGCUCGCUGGGACGUUACUGACGCUGAGACGCGAAAGCGUGGGGAGCGAACAGG
rnacentral:rRNA from 1 species